UCUCAAUUUCAUUUCUGUAUUAAUGUUAUUUUCUUAGUCUCAAUAUUUCAUAACCUUCUUCCGUUGGUGUUCACCUUAGCCGUUUGUGUCGGUCUAAAAACUAAUGUUAAAGUUAUUCCUAAUGGAGUUCAGGAUGUAGUUGGUGAUGCAACUCGGAAUUAACUUUCGCAACUGUUGUUAGUUCUUCCUCAGUAAGGAUGUUCAAUGGCAAGCAUUCUAAUUACAAAAAUAAAAGAGAAGGGAUCCAUGCUGAUCCAACUCUUUGUUAUGAAAAGAAGGGAUAACGAAGUGCAUAACCAGAUGCAGCUGUUUGUUGGUGUUUGUGGUGUAAGAAAAUUCUUAAGUACAAUUGUAAGGGGAAAGAGCCGUCCCGUAAUUGUUCCUACGUAACUUUUAAAUUGGCUUCUUCAAUAGUUUAUGUAAGCUUGCUCUUUAGUAAGUAAAGAGUUUACUUGGUCAUGUUGAUAAUUAUUGUUGCUCCAUGCACAUCUCUCAUCCACAGUGGCGGAGUUAGAAAUUUGAUGAAGGAUGUGCAA